UGCAGUCGAGCGGAUGACGGGAGCUUGCUCCUUGAUUCAGCGGCGGACGGGUGAGUAAUGCCUAGGAAUCUGCCUGGUAGUGGGGGACAACGUUCCGAAAGGGGCGCUAAUACCGCAUACGUCCUACGGGAGAAAGUGGGGGAUCUUCGGACCUCGCGCUAUCAGAUGAGCCUAGGUCGGAUUAGCUAGUUGGUGGGGUAAUGGCUCACCAAGGCGACGAUCCGUAACUGGUCUGAGAGGAUGAUCAGUCACACUGGAACUGAGACACGGUCCAGACUCCUACGGGAGGCAGCAGUGGGGAAUAUUGGACAAUGGGCGAAAGCCUGAUCCAGCCAUGCCGCGUGUGUGAAGAAGGUCUUCGGAUUGUAAAGCACUUUAAGUUGGGAGGAAGGGCAGUAAGUUAAUACCUUGCUGUUUUGACGUUACCGACAGAAUAAGCACCGGCUAACUCUGUGCCAGCAGCCGCGGUAAUACAGAGGGUGCAAGCGUUAAUCGGAAUUACUGGGCGUAAAGCGCGCGUAGGUGGUUCGUUAAGUUGGAU
rnacentral:rRNA from 1 species